AGCAUGGAUUUGUUUCGGAUUUCAUUAUUUAAAUUUUCUCUCUUUUUCUGAUGUCAAUGCAGUCGUGCUUGCAUGAUAUUGAGAUACAAAGCUAUAUAUAUAUAGGCAUGUCAACAUGGGCUGAUUUAUGCCCGGCGAAGCAAACAAAAAAAAUACAAACGUACAUUGGUAAUGAAAAACUGUUGCGAAAAUACAUCAGAGCUGCAUACCCCAUCAAACAUGAAAUUCAUAAACUGGUCAAACCCAGUGGUCAGACCAUAUCGUUUUGUUUCAGUGUAAUAGCGCCACGAUAGUUGGAAUGAGGCUUUCAUGCACGCAAAAUAAAACCGAGUACCAGGUUUUAUUCGUAUAUUUAUUAAAAUACUUGACCAAUUAUAUAUGCUUCAACUUAUUUGAAACUAUAUAUCUAGCAGUGAGCCAAUAUAUCUUUCAAGGACGCACUAGGAAAUGCUGCACCUUGAACAAUGGGCAUAUAGGAAGCAAUUUUUGCCAGAAAAGGGCAUUUUUCCCAAUGUUAAGGCUUGGGAUAAGGGCACAUUACAUAAAGAAAACCCUUUAUAUAUGACCACGGUUCCCACGCCACUGCAUCCUUGCAGUAAGCGCUCGUCGAAUAAAGUCGAAACAAGUCGUAUUUUCAGUGUUUCACAAAAGAAUCCAGUCGCGGCCAUAAGGGCCAUUACUGAAAACCUCCGGAUAACAAAAGAAUAUGACCUGGCCACAUGCAAGGUAUCGAAAUUUAAUUUUAACAAGAUCUUUGGGCCCAGGGACCUUUCGAUCUUCACGUACUAUUUAAAAAACGAGCAGGAGUGUUUUAUUAGGUUUAAAGCACGAGCGCGCAGCGCGAGUGGCUUUAGACCUAAUAAAACAGGACCUGCGAGUUUUUUAAAUGACUUCAAAAACAUUUGCAUAUUAAGUCAAAUCUUUAUAUAAAAAUCUUUAUAUAA
rnacentral:lncRNA from 1 species